GAUGAACGCUGGCGGCGUGCCUAAUACAUGCAAGUCGAGCGAACGGACGAGAAGCUUGCUUCUCUGAUGUUAGCGGCGGACGGGUGAGUAACACGUGGAUAACCUACCUAUAAGACUGGGAUAACUUCGGGAAACCGGAGCUAAUACCGGAUGAUAUUUUGAACCGCAUGGUUCAAUAGUGAAAGACGGUCUUUCUGUCACUUAUAGAUGGAUCCGCGCUGCAUUAGCUAGUUGGUAAGGUAACGGCUUACCAAGGCAACGAUGCAUAGCCGAACUGAGAGGGUGAUCGGCCACACUGGAACUGAGACACGGUCCAGGGUCCUACGGGAGGCAGCAGUAGGGAAUCUUCCGCAAUGGGCGGAAACCUGACGGAGCAACGCCGCGUGAGUGAUGAAGGUCUUCGGAUCGUAAAACUCUGUUAUUAGGGAAAAACAUAUGUGUAAGUAACUGUGCACAUCUUGACGGUACCUAAUCAGAAAGCCACGGCUAACUACGUG
rnacentral:rRNA from 1 species